rnacentral:rRNA from 1 species
UAAUACAUAGGGUGCAAGCGUUAAUCGGAAUUACUGGGCGUAAAGGGUGCGCAGGCGGCUUGGAAAGAACGGUGUGAAAUCCCGGGGCUCAACCCCGGAACUGCACUAUUAACUAUCAAGCUAGAGUAUGUCAGAGGGGGGUGGAAUUCCGCGUGUAGCAGUGAAAUGCGUAGAUAUGCGGAGGAACACCAAUGGCGAAGGCAGCCCCCUGGGAUAAUACUGACGCUCAGGCACGAAAGCGUGGGUAGCAAACAGG